GGCCAGACUCCUACGGGAGGCAGCAGUGAGGAAUAUUGGUCAAUGGGCGGGAGCCUGAACCAGCCAAGUCGCGUGAGGGAUGACGGCCCUAUGGGUUGUAAACCUCUUUUGCCGGGGAGCAAAGUGCCGCACGUGUGCGGUUUGGAGAGUACCCGGAGAAAAAGCAUCGGCUAACUCCGUGCCAGCAGCCGCGGUAAUACGGAGGAUGCGAGCGUUAUCCGGAUUUACUGGGUGUAAAGGGCGUGUAGGCGGGGACGCAAGUCAGAUGUGAAAACCACGGGCUCAACCUGUGGCCUGCAUUUGAAACUGUGUUUCUUGAGUACUGGAGAGGCAGACGGAAUUCCUAGUGUAGCGGUGAAAUGCGUAGAUAUUAGGAGGAACACCAGUGGCGAAGGCGGUCUGCUGGACAGCAACUGACGCUGAGGCGCGAAAGCGUGGGGAGCAAACAGGAUUAGAUACCCGUGUA
rnacentral:rRNA from 1 species